rnacentral:rRNA from 1 species
GUAGUAGCAAAUAUUCAAAUGAGAACUUUGAAGACCGAAGUGGGGAAGGGUUCCAUGAGAACAGCAAUUGGUCAUGGGUUACUCGAUCCUAAGGCAUAGGGCAAGUCCUUGUAAUGCAAUACGACGUACGUCGUAGCUGCCAAAAGGGAAAGGGGUUAAUAUUCCUCUAGUUGGCCGUGGAUAACAUGUGGUAACACAAAUGAGUCCGCAGACGUCGGCAUGACCCCCUGGAAGAGUUAUCUUUUCUUUUUAACUGU